rnacentral:rRNA from 3 species
AAAUUGAAGAGUUUGAUCAUGGCUCAGAUUGAACGCUGGCGGCAGGCCUAACACAUGCAAGUCGAACGGUAACAGGAAGCAGCUUGCUGCUUUGCUGACGAGUGGCGGACGGGUGAGUAAUGUCUGGGAAACUGCCUGAUGGAGGGGGAUAACUACUGGAAACGGUGGCUAAUACCGCAUGACGUCGCAAGACCAAAGAGGGGGACCUUCGGGCCUCUUGCCAUCAGAUGUGCCCAGAUGGGAUUAGCUUGUUGGUG